ACAGUUGUGAGCCCAGCCUAAAAAAACUUCUCUUAUGAUCAUAGGACAGUCAUCCAAUGAAUGGAGUCCCUGGAGAAACUAUCACCUGCACCCCGAGGAGUUCACCUGACUGCCCAAGUUCACCCGUUGGCAGCCUAGCAUGUCACCUUGUGAGUUAAAAUGCAUUUGAAUGUAUUUGUUUGUUGGUACAUGUUUGGUAAUGUUUUAAAUUGCCAAAAAUACCUGUUAAAGGAGAUUUUACAUUUUCAUACCUCUACAGGAAAUUCAGUUCCAAAAGAUGGGCCGACUUCUCAUUUUAGAGAUGACGACAAAAGGCCCAGAGAGGGACAGUGAUUCAUCCAAGGCGGCAGAGCCAGUCAGGAAGAGCACCCGGGAGGGAGCCCCGGUCUGCUGACCCCACCGUAUUCAUUCUCACACCUGAUCAUAUGAGUGUAAAGUUCUAGUUGAUGGAAGGACAUGACAUAUAUUGUCCUUUGUUCUUCCCAGGUGCCAUGAUUACUCUCUUUAAUGGAUGAGGAAAUUGAGGCACGAAUGGGCUUGGAAACUUGCCGAAGUUCCCACCGGCAGUAAAUGACAACGCUGGGGUGGGGAUGAUCCUAAGAUGCUGCUCCCACCGACAGCUGUGAACCAAUGCGAGGGCCCAUCUUCCACCCAGGGCCCGUGCUAGCCUGGAGCUGCAGACUCUCCCCAGCCACCCCUGCCCAGGAGAGAUAGGCCUGGCCGACCACGCCAGCUCGGGAAACAUAACAAAAGCCACGCAGAGGACAGAGCAGCCCGGCAGUGCCUCUGUGGAUGUGCGACGUAGACAUCACAAGAUGAUUUAUGUAACUUCUUACAUAAUGACAAUAUUUCUAUCAAAAACCAGCCCAAGGCAGGCUGUCAGCCGUAAUCAGAACGGACGUGCUUCUUGCUUCCUGAGAACAGGAGGCAUCGGGUCAAAGCAAACCCCUUUGGCUGCCAGGCUAAGGGCUUCCUGACCUGCUGAACUUGCCUGGUGUGGCUGUGUCCUCAGAGGAGGCAGAGACCUGGUAAUGCCCCAGAGGAGUCACAGCCCGGCUCAGCCAGCCCCAUCACCCCUGGCUGCAGCCCACCUCCAGCGACAGAGACCACUGUCAGUGUGAUCAAAUACCACACUGGAAGAGGUUUCAACCACAUUAUUGUACCAUUAGAGGGAGACUGGCUUUGGAGAUGAGAUCUUUGAACUCAGCCCCUACCUGGCUGUGUGAUCUUGAGGUAGUCACUCACCCUCUCUAGGCCUCAGUUUCCUGGACGAAUUACAUCAUCAAUUCUUGACCUCCAUGCUGAGCACAUGGAUAUGGUGCUAGCAUGCCACAAGUCGGUGCUACUUAUAUGUGGCAAAUGAUUUACUUUUUCCUAAUAUAAAUCAGUGCGAUUCAACCUCAUCAAAUCAGCCCCUGAACAGAAUGGCCGAUGCCCACGCACACUGGGAGGGACCAUCUGUCUUACAACCCAUGAGCAGGUACUAUGACCAGCCCAUCUUAAGAUGAGGAGGCUAAGGCACAGAACAGUGAAGGGCCUUGUUGAAGGUCACAGCUAGUAAAUGGCAGAGCUAGAUACAAACCUCAGCAGCCCACCUACAGGGCUACUGCCUCCACCUGGACCUUCCUCAGGCAAAACCUCAGUCGCUGUUAUAUGUGGGAAGAGGGAAGGGCAGGGUCAGCCUGGGAGGAUGUGGUGGGAUGGGUGCUCAGGGGUUGAGCACGCUGCAGAUGGACCAGCCAUCUUGGAAGCUGCCCUGUGUGCCAGAGCAGAUGGACCACAUCCUUGUCUCCAUUGAGAGUGAGCCUGCUGUCUCCAGAGGCAAUCAAGCAAGAAUAAGAUUGCCAGUUGGAGAGAAGAUAGAAAUGCAGAUUUAAGUAUCCGCGUGUGCACUGGGGAAGUCACCUGAGGUGACCUGUAACUUUCAAGGUCCACAGUCAAAGAUGCUGGGAUGCUGUGGGUUGCUGCGAAUUGGAAACUCCUGGGAGUGCCCACAGAGAGGAGGGUCCAAUCGAGGCAUCUCCCUCUCAUUCCCAGUUUGUCCACAAGACCUCACCUCUGGCGUGGCAGCCACUCGGACUGGCCAGUCCUUUUUCCAUCCAGCACAUUGCCAUCUCUGGACACCUCAUUUCCAGGUGAAGAAGCCAGAUCCUCAGAAUGUCAGGGCUUGCAGAACCUCAGAGCUCAGUCAACCAACCUUUGAUUUUCAGAGGAGGACCCCAAAAGCCCACAUGUACAAAAAGACAAUGGCCUGCCAGUGUAGGAAAAGAGAACCCUGGUCCACAGUCUCUGCAGCAAGCAGCCUAGGAAGACAAACCAAACCUCUGUGGCAACAGGCCCGGAAUGAUCAGGGCUCGGUCAGUCCUGGUCAGCUUCCCUAUUGUUGUCUACUGCUUCCAAUUCAAUACCAAUGAGAGAAAGCCAAAAAUGCUCCUAAGGCAAUCAAAUGAGAUGUCCGGCUUCCAGCUAGCCACUCCCACUUCCCCAUCCCAACAACCUCCAAUCAGGGCACACCUGAAGCCUCCCCCUUUUCACUGUGAUGCUUCCCCUCACCCUGCCUGCCUGGGAGUCUCUGUCAAAUGGAAGUGACAGUGGCCAAUUCCCUUGCCGUGGCAAGCUCACAAUGAAUGGCUUCUGUUUGAUCUCCUUUGGGUUGUCCCCAUUUAUUUUCACAACACAGAGACCCAGAAGGGGAUAGUGGGUUAAGGCCACAUUCCAGGUCUAGAACUCAGCUCAUUCAUUAUCACCUCAAUAGAGCUUUAUUUCUUUGACUCCCUCUAUUAUUCUAGGUAGAAUUGACCGCAUUCUCCCUCUUGCCUCUCAGUAUCCUUCACACUCUAUCUCGGCAUCUUCCACACAUGCGGUGGUUUUAAAGUAUGUCCAAAGCUCUGUGAUACUCAUCCCUUUAAGAAUUGGAGCCUAGUACCCCUCCCCUUAGUGUGGUCUGAAUUUAGUGACUCUUCUAGCAAACAGAAUGAUAUGAAGUGACCAUCUGUGACUUCAGAGAUGAGGACUUAAGAGGCUCAGCAGCUUCCUCCUUGCUCUCUCUUGGAUCAACUCUAGGGGAAGCCAGCUGCCAUGUUGUGGGGAUGCUCAAGUAGCCCUGAGGAGAGGCCCAUGUGAUGAGGCGCUAAGAGGACUUGGGACAAACACCAAUAGAGAAUUGAGGCCUCCCGUCAGUAGUCAUGUAAGUGAGCUAUUCUGGAAGCACAGCCUCCAUUCCCAGUCAACAUCUUAACUUCAACCUCAUGAGAGACCUUGAGCCUAGCUCAGCCACUCCCAGACUCCUGACCCACAGAUACUGUGUGAGGUAAUCAACACUUGUUUCAAGCUUCUAAGCAAUCUGUUGCCAUAGUUAAUUAAUGCAACAUAUUUCUGUGUUUUUUGGCCUACAUGUCUGAGACAUAUAAUAUCCAAUUUGGGACUCUUGAAAAUAAGGCACCAGUAACUUAGGGCUCAGCAAUGUUUGAUGGACAGACAGAUGAAUGGAUGGGUAAGAAGGUGCACAUUUGAGGCACCCUCACUUUCUUUGGCUUCAGGGUUGGAUGGAUGGAUGGAUGGAUGGAUGA